UUCAAUUAUUGUUUAUGGUUUCACGGCUUGGGUGCCGCAAAUACGUCACUACCCUCCCCUUAAAGAGAAGCCUAUACUUGGGCUGGAAUUGAUGGAUAUAGUAAAGGUAAUGGAUUCUGUUCUAUUUCUACUUGUUGUGGUAUACUCUGAUUUUGAUCCGGUCUUAAUCUUAAUUGUGCAUACAGCAUCAUGAAUGGAUUGAAUUUUACAUAUCUUAAAUAUAAGUACAACAAAACAAGUGUAAUGAUGACAAUAAUGAUUAGUAUGUAAAGUGUAAUGUUGUUUUGAGAAAUCAUUUCGACAAUGUCGCUGCGUUUUACAAUUUUUAUUUUUGUUAUAUUAAGUGGUGUGUAUAGUGGUGUUAAAUCUAUUUCAGGUUUUAAAAGGUUUUCGCUUAAAAUUAUGCUGUUGAUUUCUACUUUACAUUGAGCUACGCUUAUCAUUUUAUUUCCUUUUAUUUUUAGGUGGCGCCUUUACCCCUAUAGUUAAAAAUUUCUCCUCCAGAGGGCGUCAAUCAGUCCCAUAGAGCGCCAGCAGGUGGCGCUUUUUGCUCCCCCCUUCUGCGCCUGACAAUUACACCACACACACUCAUACAGAAAAGGCAAAAAUCUUAAAGAGGAGCUGCUGUCAAACACCAACCGAUUCGUUGCACUGCCUAUCGAAGAGGACGUUGGUACCAUCGCAGACAUGCUAGCUGACCUUGGAGAAGUCACCGAGCCAGGUAGCUUCGCUUACAAGGCUACCUGAGGAGGUAGCUUAAAAGUUAUGCCGAAAGACAGCUCGACAUAUCGGAAAAUUGUUAAUCACAUGGACAACCACAACAUGGCGUUCAGGACUUUCCAGCUCAAGGAACUUUGCUUUGGUAAUUAAGGGGCCACAGUCAACAACACCAGUUGACUACAUCUCUGAAGAACUAAAGGGGCUUGGACACAUUGUUCGAGACAUCAAGAACGCCAUCUCAAGAACCACAAAGAACCCUAUUGCUAUGUUCUUUGUAAACUUGGAACCUUCAAGCAACAACAAAAAGGUGUUCACAACCGAGGAGCCCAGAAAGUUCAAUGACCUGGUGCAGUGCUACCGCUGCCAGGCUUUCGGGCAUACCAAGAGGUACUGCAGUCUGCAGUACACUUGCGUAAAGUGCGGUCAAGGGCAUGCCUCUAUCGAGUGCACUAAGGCCAAAGACGCUCCUGCUACAUGCGGUAACUGCGGGGAGGCGCACACUGCGUCAUACCAAGGCAGCCGUGUAUAUAUCGAGGCCAAGAAGAGGGCUUCCCCCAAGCCAAAAAACCAACCAACAACGCCACAUACUCUGGCUUUAGCUACGCUGACAUCACCAGGGGACCAAAAAGGUCUCAUUGACCGGGAGGCAUCGUGGGAGGAGAGAAUAAUGAGGCGCAUGGAGAACAUGAUGGACUCAAUGUUCUCCCAGUUUAAAGACAUGGUGAUGGCCAAGUUCUCCUGCCAGAUAACCAUGCCAUGAACACACAAAUAGUAAUCUGGAAUGCUAACGGCUUGGCGAGGAACAAGCCAGAAGUGGAGCUCUAUCUGAAAACCAACCAGGUGGAUGUGAUGCUGGUCAGCGAGACCCACUUUACAACGAGGUCUCACUUCAAAAUCCCUGGCCACGAAAUGGUCAACGCCUUGCACCCGGCGGACAGGAUCAGAGGUGGAGCCACAGUAAUCGUGCGAAGUGGAAUACUGUACGAGGAGAUAGAGCCGGUGCAGCUGGACUGGAUGCAAUGCGCCAGGAUUCAGCUGCUGACACAUUCGGGCAGUGACCCUAACAAAAUACCGGACCUCCUUGAUCUAGGCAUCAGUAGAGGCAUCGACCCGGCGAAAGUAUCUACAGUUGGGUGCUACGAGCUGUGCUCUGACCACAGCAUGGUCAGGAUACUACUUAGGACCUCCUUCCUAAGGACUCCCGGAGGCGCCAAACUGAUCAGGCGAAAUACCCACACAAUUGUGUUUAAAAGCUGGCUUAAAGAAAACGUUGACCCACAUCCGGCUAUCAGCACUGGAGGAGACAUUGACGAUGCCGUUGCUAGCCUUACUGGCAAAAUCCACUAGGCGGCAAGGUUGGCUGUGGCUGUGGUGUGACCCACACCUCGUACCAACAGUGGGAGACUGAACUGGCGUCGAUGGUAUCGGAGAAAAGGAGGCUGAGGAGAGUCUGGCAGCGUGCCGCAGCUUGUCGUAGGAAGCGACUAAUGAGCGACUAAGGUCACUCCGCCCGUGCUUGUCGGCUAUGUAGAUCUCGCUCCUCAGCAAGGGGGAGUGCUUGCCCGGCAAGCAAGCACUUGAAUUAAUACCGGGGUGGUUGCUAUGUACAUAGCUAUAGCUUCCAGACCGUGACGUUUUGUCUAGCGUAUCUGGACACAUGAAUCAUAUGCUCACUUGUGGGUGUAUAGGGUGCCGUGGUUGUAAUCCCUUCAAUGUGGAACACGCCACGUAAAACAAGUUCGGAGGGAUCCGAUUCAAACACUGUCCCUAUCUACUAUCUAGCGAAACAACUGCCAAGGGAACGGGCUUGGAAUAAUUAGCGGGGAAAGAAGAGAUUGAGCUUGACUCUAAUCUGGCAGUGUAAGGAGACAUAAGAGGUGUAUAAUAAGUGGGAGAUAUUAAACCUCGGUUUGGUAGCGUCAAUGAAAUACCACUACUCUUAUUGUUUCCUUACUUACUUGAUUAAAUGGAACGUGUAUCAUUUCCUAGCCAUUAUACGGAUAUAUUUAUUAUAUCUAAUGGUAUUGGGUUUUGAUGCAAGCUUCUUGAUCAAAGUAUCACGAGUUGUUAUAUAAUCGCAAACAAAUUCUUUAAUAUAAUAAAACGAUGCAUUUAUGUAUUUUUGAUUUGAAAAUUUGGUAUAACUCCAAUUACUUAGGUAUGAUCCAAGUCAAGGACAUUGCCAGGUAGGGAGUUUGACUGGGGCGGUACAUCUCUCAAAUAAUAACGGAGGUGUCCCAAGGCCAGCUCAGUGCGGACAGAAACCACACAUAGAGCAAAUGCUGACUUGAUCUCGGUGUUCAGUACACACAGGGACAGCACAAGCUCGGUGAAGCAAAAUUCACCAAGUGUUGGAUUGUUCACCCAUGCAAGGGAACGUGAGCAGGGUUUCGACCGUCGUGAGACAGGUUAGUAUUACCCUACUAAUGACAAAACGGUGAUGCGACAAGGGGCAAUUUGCAUUGUAUGGCUUCUAAACCAUUUAAAGUUUAUAAUUUACUUUAUAAACGACAAUGGAUGUGAUGCCAAUGUAAUUUGUAACAUAGUAAAUUGGGAGGAUCUUCGAUCACCUGAUGCCGCGCUAGUUACAUAUAAAAGCAUUAUUUAAUACAAUGACAAAGCCUAGAAUCACUUGUAAACGAUUUUUGUAACAGGCAAGGUGUUUUAAGUGGUUGAGCAGCUGCCAUACUGCGACCCACUGAAGCUUAUCCUUUGCUU
rnacentral:rRNA from 1 species